rnacentral:ncRNA from 2 species
GAGAAAAACUAGCGUAAAGGUGCCCCUUGGGGUUAAAAGGGAAGCCGGUUCAAAGCCGGCGCGGUCCCGCCACUGUAAGUGCGAGCAAGACGCGAAAAGUCACUGGAAGAAUUCCGGGAAGACGCGGCAAGCGAUGACCACAAGCCAGGAGACCUGCCUUUGCGAAUCACCCGUG